AUGUAGGCUGUCUCCCCCAUCCCUCACUUCCAUAGGCGUGCGCACGGGGUGUGUCGGGUGUGCCUGGGCACACCCUAAUCCCCGCGGCACGCCAAUGGAUUGAGACCGGCAGGGGAGAUCUCUGGAUCUCCCCAGUCGGCUCAUGCCGAGCCGACGCUAUCCAAGCGGCGGCUUUGGUCUAAGCCUCCAUGGGCCAGUGGGGAGAUCAAAGUUCUACCUCACCGGUCCACAGCAACAUGGAGGGAGGCAGCAGAGAACCCGGGCUAGAGUUCACUCUACACUGAACCACCAGGGAAGGCAGCAGGACUGGGAUAUUAACUAAUCUGCCCCCACUCCACCCAAACAUACAGCACACACACACCCACAGUACCUACACAGCCCACAAACAGCACCCACACACAUAUUUCACCCUCGCACACACAGCACCCAGCACACUAACAGCAUCCUCACAAACACACAAAACCCACACACAACACCCGCACAGCACUCACACACAAACAGCACCCUGACAAACACAAACAGCACACUAACAGGACCCGAACAAACACGCACACACAAACACCCUCUGCUGCCCCCCAGCCUCACU